rnacentral:rRNA from 1 species
UCUACGGAUGAAAGCGGGGGAUCUUCGGGCCUCGCGCUAUAGGGUUGGCCGAUGGCUGAUUAGCUAGUUGGUGGGGUAAAGGCCUACCAAGGCGACGAUCAGUAGCUGGUCUGAGAGGACGACCAGCCACACUGGGACUGAGACACGGCCCAGACUCCUACGGGAGGCAGCAGUGGGGAAUUUUGGACAAUGGGCGAAAGCCUGAUCCAGCAAUGCCGCGUGUGUGAAGAAGGCCUUCGGGUUGUAAAGCACUUUUGUCCGGAAAGAAAUCCUUGGCUCUAAUACAGCCGGGGGAUGACGGUACCGGAAGAAUAAGCACCGGCUAACUACGUGCCAGCAGCCGCGGUAAUACGUAGGGUGCGAGCGUUAAUCGGAAUUACUGGGCGUAAAGCGUGCGCAGGCGGUUUGCUAAGACCGAUGUGAAAUCCCCGGGCUCAACCUGGGAACUGCAUUGGUGACUGGCAGGCUAGAGUAUGGCAGAGGGGGGUAGAAUUCCACGUGUAGCAGUGAAAUGCGUAGAGAUGUGGAGGAAUACCGAUGGCGAAGGCAGCCCCCUGGGCCAAUACUGACGCUCAUGC